rnacentral:rRNA from 1 species
AGAUUGAACGCUGGCGGCAGGCCUAACACAUGCAAGUCGAGCGGCAGCACGGGUACUUGUACCUGGUGGCGAGCGGCGGACGGGUGAGUAAUGCCUAGGAAUCUGCCUGGUAGUGGGGGAUAACGCUCGGAAACGGACGCUAAUACCGCAUACGUCCUACGGGAGAAAGCAGGGGGACCUUCGGGCCUUGCGCUAUCAGAUGAGCCUAGGUCGGAUUAGCUAGUUGGUGAGGUAAUGGCUCACCAAGGCGACGAUCCGUAACUGGUCUGAGAGGAUGAUCAGUCACACUGGAACUGAGACACGGUCCAGACUCCGUACGGGAGCAG